CCUCAAAAAGAGAAAUUAAGACCUGAAGGGGCUGAACUUUCUCAUUAGAUGUACUUAUGGAUUUAUUACAUUUUUUAAUUUUUCUGAAACUUGACCUUUCAGGAAGUGGCUGCUUUAUUGUAAGAGAAGAAUAAUGUUUUAGCAACACUCCUAUUCUGAUUGUCACUUAAAUGAGGAUGUGAUCAAGAAAGAUAAAGGGAGAAGAGCACCACACUGAAUCUAGAAGUUUACAACCAGUGUCACUAGUUAGAAAAAUCAUCAGUGAAAACAAACAUGGUUGCAUCAUGUCACAAUAUAAUCUCUCUCUCUCUUUUUUUUUUUUUUUUUUUAAACUGUUGCCCCAGGAGAAAGCAGAAAACUGGGUUUAUUCAUCAAUGGGACACUGUAUUUCCUGUGAUUGGGAAAGAACUGUUAAAUUUCAGGGAAGGCAAACCCACUAUUUUGGAUAGAAAACUAUAUCCUGUAUAGUGAACUUAUCCAGUCAGAAACUUUUUUCAAUGUAUGAAAAUGUAUUUAUUUUAAUACUAAAAUUUUCAUUAUA